CCCCAACGUUGCAGGUAUUGGACCAUGUAGCUUGUUGUGGCUGAGAUUAAGUAGCCUUAGCUAUUCCAUAUCUCCAAUUUCCAUAGGGAUUGAACCAUUUAACAAAUUGUUACUCAGGUCCAAUUGCUCAAGAUUGGUAAGAUUCCCCAUUGUUGGAGGUAUUGAACCAGAAAGCAUGUUACUUCCAAGGUCCAACAGAUUGAGAUUUUUGAGGUAUCCUAUCUCUUGAGGUAUUGAGCCGUUGAUACAAUUGCCAGAGAGGGAGAGUAUGGUGAGGUUGGUCCAGGUAGUGAAUAGAUAUCCAUCAAUUUCACCACUUAUGUAAUUAUAAGAAACAUACAACUCAAGUAAUCCAGUAAGAUUAGCUAGUGAAGAAGGCAAUUUGCCCGAAAGAUUAUUCCC